GAAUGAUCUACUAAGGCUCGUGCGGCUUUCAAUGGAGUCUAUCAGCUGCUGACAUGUUCAGAAUCCAGGAAAAUGACAUCCCUUUACAAGGUGCUGUUGGAUGUGCAUUCCAUAUUUGAGUAAUGUCCCAGACUUGCCAGUAGCAUUUGGUUGAAAAGUUCAACUGUGCGAAAUUCAUAGGUCUUCUCAUUUAAGUGUGCUGGUUAAUUUGUACAUGAAGUGUUUGUCUUAUCUUCUAUUCCGGAGGCCUGUUUUUACCCAUUGCUAGCAUCUAGUUGGAUGGUUUUAUCCAUGAGGGAGGUUGCUGAAGAUGUGCUUUGCAGAUUGCACUGAUCAACUUGAUUUUGGGCAAGACUGCCUAGUUACAGACUGCACUUGAUAAGCUUAUACACAAUGCUACUGGACAGCAGCUCCUUUGUAGAUAAUCUUCUUUCCUCCAUGCUGUAAAUGAUGUAUUUUCGUCAUGGAGUUGACUUAUGGUUGAAUAGUAUCAUAUGUUCCUUUGAGAAGGGCAAAAUGGUGGUUUCCACUUAGCAAUUUUGAUGCAGGUCAGAGGACAAAAGUGUUAAUUAGUGUGCUAACCAAGAAAUCAGCCAGUGGUGUCUCUUUUUCAGUGCCACUUCUGGAUAAAGUUCAAGCAGAUUUCAAACAAGAAAUCACUUGGACCAUCACAUGUGUAUGAACAAUGUACAAAGAUUUUCAUGUACAAUAGGCUAACUCGUUCCUUGACUAUCAGUACGACGACUAUAACCAGCGCGUGUACAUGUAUAUAUACCCGAAUGGUCGAAGCGUUUGUCUUGCGUGCUGGUACACUCGUGACACCAAUGUACUUUUAGUCCACAUUUUUCUUCUGGCAAAUUUUGUUAGUUUCACAUUAGUCGUUGAGAUGUGAUAGAACUUAUCUGGACUGAGAAUGUGUUGCAGAAUGCAAAAUAAGCUCUGUAUUCUGUACUGUUUGUAUCGCGAAUCGCAUCUUCAGUUCAGUUGAGUAAAGUGAUGCUAAUUUUAGUUAUGC
rnacentral:sRNA from 1 species